CUUAUUCGCUGGAAGCCACCCCCCGAAGGACAGCCAAAGUGGGCCGAGCAGACCGCUCUCAAAGUGCGGGGCUUCUGACAGGAACACCCCGGUCAAGCCCAUUUCACCUCCGCUUUGGUGCCUCGGCUCUCCCCACACAAAUGACAUGUGCUCAAGUGAAAUCGACCGAGCAGGUCUGCCCAGUAACUCAGCAGAAUCACAUUUCUACCAGAAAUUAACUGCGAGUUUACGUCGUUACGAUUACUAAACGCGGAUUAAAAAUAUCUACGAAAUAAGCUUAAAGCGAAAGAAGGAAAAAAAACUUACCUGCCCCGUAUUCGAGUUUCGUUUUUGAAGGAAACCUCCACCGCUUUCCACCAACGCGGCCAUUUCAUCUUGCUGUUGGUCUGCGUGAGGAAGGAGAAACUAGUGACCGACCUGGCGACAACCUUAAACUUGUCACGCUAGUUCCACGCCGCGGACUCGGCGCUCAACGUCGAGUGACCGCGAAAGCUGAAGGAGACGUCGCCGUGAAACCGACCUGACGGCCGCCUAACCGGACUUUAAAAAGUCAGCCGACGACGUCGAAUGUAAAAGCAAAAAUCCCGACGACUACGCUAAGCUGUCUUGAUUUUGAACUCCCAACUCCGCCGCAACGAACUCGCCGCCCCGAAAUUUCACACACCGUUUGUAUUAUUACUACUACGCUUGUGGUGGGAAAAGGUAACCAGUUUCUGCACUAUUCGUUACAGUAACGAUAACGACGUUUUUGGCAUCUAGCUGGCUAGUUAGCAAGGUAGCUAAGCCAACUUUGCUGAAAUGCUAACUACCUAGCAAGUUCAGCGCCUGUGCAUGAAACAUUCUGGUUUCACGGAGCGAGGGACAAUUUUAUUAAAUUUUAUUUGAAACAA